UUUUUUUUCUCACCAUUCAUCUGCACCUAAAUCCAUCCCUUUAUUUUAUUACAUUUAGGGAUUUCAAAUCGAAGCAGGACAUAACUAAAGUUGUCCAUCUGUGGCAAUUCAAAAUCCAUGAUUAUUAGUCCCCCAUAGAUCCUUCUGUGCAAAACGUUGCAAAAGAUGAGUGGGUUUGAGUAGAAUUAAGCGGUGGUUUGUGGCGUUUCUUAGGGCUUCGAUAGAAACAAUCGCCAAUUCGCCAGGUUCUAGUUAUUACACAACACGUUAUCAGUACGAAACUGCUCGAAUCAUCAUUGGUUUUAAUCGUUGAUUAAAGUCUCGGUUGACCCAUGUCAUUGAUGAUGUUUUGUUGAUAAAAGUUUUGGUGGCCCGAGGUGUUUCCAAUGAAGAUUUAGACAUGGCGAUUGAAAAGUGACGGUUGACCCAUGUCAUAUAUAGUGGCUCAUGUAUUUUGUAUGAUGUUUUAGACAUGGCGAUUGAAAAGUGACGGAGAUACUAUUUCCUUUAGUUAUUUCAAGGUAAGUUUUUUUUUCACCAUACAUGUUUAUCUACAUAAGGUACUACUCUUAUACCUAUAUUGUUUCUUGUUGAAUAUGCCUUAUCUUUUCAACUUGAUUUUACCAUGAUAAGAAUAAUCGUUAACCAGAAUGAGAUUUUUGAAAGUCGGUUGAACAGGGGAUGUUCAAAUCCUACUCAUAAUUUUCAUUUUCAUUUUCAUUUUCAAU